UAUUGUUAGAGACAGUGUAGUGCUGUGGUU
rnacentral:piRNA from 1 species